GGCGAGACGCAACCAGACUGCAGCAUGCUUAAUGGAUUCUAAAUUGGAUCAGACUGCAGCAUGCUUAAUGGAAUCUAAAUUGGAUCGAAAGUCAGGUCUCGGCCGCUCGAGCGCCAAGACCUGGCCUACUACUACCUAAGGACCGUGCGACCCCACCUAACCCUGAUCCUAGCAAAUUGGAGCAACAGAUGAUCAUCAGAGAGAGAGAGAGCAAUGAUCUUAAAUUCCUUACUGAUCUUCCAUCGACUAAACUCCAACGACAAACCGGUAUCCAAGAACUUCCCGAUGAGAGACGUCACCCACCGUUCACAAAUACCUUCGCAGUCUUCACCGGCGAGUACCACCACCUUUGAGAACCGUUGCCGCAAGUGAGCAAUCUCGUCCUCUGGAACAGUUUGGCUCUCCCACCUGUACUGUCGCCUCCCUUGGGUUACCUGCGACUACUACUCUCUUUGGAUGCCGCAUUUUUGAGGACUUCGAUUCCUUCGCCUUCGAAGAAUAAUGGUCAAUCACCGACCGUUUUCCUGUGGGACUCUUUACAGCUGUUUAUCGCUGCAGUCCAGUUCAGUGGUGGACGUGCGGUUUGGGGAACCGGGUGGUGACAGGACCGAGCUCAACCGAAAAAGCGAGCGCUCAUCAGAGCUCCGCGCUUAUAUCUUCUCACUGCCCUAUCCAUGGCGACUUUCGCUUCUCCGCCGCGCCGCUUCUCCUAUUUAUCCUCCGCUUCUCCGUCUCCUCCUCCUCCUCCUCUUCCUUCCACCUUCCUCUCCUCUUCUUUGCUUCUCCCGGGGCACCUCGCCAAACCGGACGGCUUACGGUUCUUCUCCUCCUCCAAACCGGUGACCGCACCCCCGAGACCCCUCUCCCACCCCGCCGCAUUCUUCUACGGAGAAGAGAGGCCUUUAGACACCCAGACGCUUCUCGUCACCGCCACUGUCCUCGCCGCCGUCUCCCUGUCCCUCGUUCUUGGUCUCAAGGGGGAUCCGGUGCCCUGCGAGAGGUGUGCUGGCAACGAUCCCUGCAUCAAUGUGGUACGUAUGAUCUUUUUCAACUUCGAUCACCAUUUAUCAGCAGAUAACACAAUGAGGUGGCACAAAGUGUGUCUUUUGCAACAAUGGUAAAAUGAGACAAGAAACUGGGUUAGUUGAUUGUCGGGUUUGCAAAGGUGCAGGUCUGAUACUAUGUAAAAAGUGCGGUGGUUCUGGAUAUUCCAGGCGUUUGUAAGCUGUUGAUGGAUCAUUAAUCUUAACUUGCAAUUUGUAGCAUCUAUUGCCUGCAGCCAAAAAGAUCUGCUGAGAAACAGGUCUCAACUUGAUUAUGCAUCAGUUACUCUCUCCUCAGAGGCUCAAACAUUCUUCAAGUUGUUUCAUACAUGCAGCCAAAAGAGGACCAAAGAGAGGCAAAUGGAAGAA